GACGAACGUUGGCGGCGUGCCUAACACAUGCAAGUCGAACGGGGCCCGCAAGGGUUCAGUGGCGAACGGGUGCGUAACACGUGAAGAAUUUGUCCAACGGCGGGGGAUAGCCGGCCCAACGGCCGGGUAAUACCGCGUACGACCCUCGGGGGGCGAUCCCUCGAAGGUGAAAGCCGCAAGGCGCCGAUGGAGAACUUCGCGGCCUAUCAGCUAGUUGGUGAGGUCAUGGCCUACCAAGGCGACGACGGGUAGCCGGCCNGAGAGGGCGACCGGCCACACUGGGACUGAGACACGGCCCAGACUCCUACGGGAGGGCAGCAGUGGGGAAUAUUGCGCAAUGGGCGGAAGCCUGACGCAGCGACGCCGCGUGGGGGAUGACGGCC
rnacentral:rRNA from 1 species